UACGGGGGGGGCAAGCGUUGUUCGGAAUUACUGGGCGUAAAGGGUGCGUAGGCGGCUUUCUAAGUUGGAUGUGAAAACUCUGGGCUCAACCCAGAGCCUGCAUCCAAAACUGGAGAGCUAGGGUUCUGGAGGGGAAAGCGGAAUUCCUGGUGUAGCGGUGAAAUGCGUGGAUAUCAGGAGGAACACCGGUGGCGAAGGCGGCUCUCUGGACCACAACUGACGCUGAGGCGCGAAAGCUAGGGGAGCAAACAGG
rnacentral:rRNA from 1 species